AGACGAGGGAUCCUAGCGUUGUUCGGAAUUAUUGGGCGUAAAGCGGGUGCAGGUGGCUCGUUAAGUCAGGUGUGAAAUCCCAGGGCUCAACCCUGGACGUGCAUUUGAUACUGAUGAGCUUGAGUGUGGGAGAGGCUACUAGAAUUCUUGGUGUAGUGGUAAAAUACGUAGAUAUCAAGAGGAAUACCGGUGGCGAAGGCGGGUAGCUCGGCCCAACACUGACACUCACGAACCCGAAAGCGUGGGGAUC
rnacentral:rRNA from 1 species